UGAGUUUCUUGCAUUCCUGAUACCUCCUGU
rnacentral:piRNA from 1 species